ensembl:lncRNA novel transcript
CUGUGCCCAGCCAGUUUUCUCUUUCAACACUUUACAUAUUUCACCCUUUUCUCUUCUUGCUUGCGUGGUGUCUGACAAGAAGGCUGUAAUUCUUAUUCGUUUCCUGUAUAAGUAAGCUGGGUUUUUUUCUAUGGCUUCUUUCAAGAUUUUGUGUUUGUCUCUGGUUUUCUACAGUUUGAAUAUGAUAUAUGUAGGUGUUGAUUUUUUUUUUUAAGUAUGUAUCCUAUUUGGUGUUCUCUAAGCUUACUGGAUCCGUGGCUUGGGGUCUGCCUUUACUUUUGGAAAAUUGGGAGCCAUUAUAACUUUCACGAUUUUUCUGCUCUGUUCUCCCUUUCUUCUCCUUGUGGUGUUUCAAUUGUGCAUAUACCUUUUGAAAAUAUCCCACAGUUCUUGUAUAAUCUGUUUUUUUCCCCAUUUUUUUCUUUGCAUUACAGUUUGGGAAGGUUCUAUUAACAUACCUUCAGGCUGAUUUUUUCCUCAUCUAUGUCCAGUCUACUGAUGGUCCCAUCAAAUGCCUUCAUCAUCUCUGUUAUAGUGUUUUCUCUUUCUCUUUCUUUCCUUCCUUUUUCUUUCCCUCCUUCCCUCCCUUCUUUCUUUCUUCCUUCUUUUGUUUGUUUUGUUGUUGUUGUUGUUGUUGUUUUAGACAGAGUCUUGCUCUGUUGUCCAGGCUGGAGUGAAGUGGCACCAUCUCGGCUCACUGCAUCCUCUGCCUCCCAGGUUCAAGUGAUUCUCAUGCCUCAGCCUCCACAGUAGUUGGGAUUAGAGGUGUGCGCCACCAUGCCCAGCUAAUUUUUUAUAGUUUUAAUACAGACUGGACUUCACCAUGUUGCCCAGGCUGGUCUUGAACUCCUGAGCUCAGGCAGUCCACCUGUCUCGGCCUCCCAAAGUGCUAAGAUGGAGAAAGCUGCCAUAUAAAGAGUUAUCUUAGGGGGACCAGGGCAAGAUCUGAGGGAUCAGUUAGUUGGCUAUGCCCCUUGUCUGGGCAAGACACUGCAGUGGCUUGGGUGGGGGUGGUGGCAGGGGUGGUGGGGUGAAGAGCCUAGGUCUAUUCUGAAGACAGGGUAUCUAUGAGGGGUCUCUGUUUCUACUCUUCCAGAGCACACCACCACCUGCAGCUGUCUCCUGCCUCCAGUGCAUCAGAGUCUGGAGCGCGUUGCUUCUCUGGAGGGAGAUAAAGACACAGUGGCUACCUGGGGAGAUAAAACAGCACCAGCAGGAAUCAGGGGUUCCAGAGAGGAGGGAACCUGGCCCUGGGCUAUCCUGGCUUUUGUCUCUGCCAUUUCUACUAAAACCACUCUGCUCAAGGCUGUCAUCAGUGUCUCCACUGCCCAGCCCUGGACUGUCAGAGCCACUCCGGGACAUCUGCACCAGAUGCAUGAGUUUCCUGAUACAGCGAAAUCUCAGCAGGAGUUGACACCCACCUGCCUGGUGCUCUGGGAUGAAUUUCUGCACAGAUGCAACCUCUGUGGGUGGAAGCCAGGAUGAAGUAUAUGCAUCUGUGAAGACUGGCCUUCCAUCUGUUUUCUGAUGCAACCAAAAUGCUUCAGGGCUCGUCUUAUCUGGAGGUUUGAUGGCUACAGACGUGAGGGGCUUCCAGGUAGAGCUCAGACCUGAGACUUCUGGUCCCCUGUCUGGACAUCUGUAUGAAGACGGAGAAGCACCAGCCAACCUCUCCACAACCCUCACCAAGUUCUCAUGGAACAUCCUCUGAUGGUCCCUCUCGGUGCUGGGUUCUGGCAGGAGAAAGAGAAGUCAGGGAACAGAAGAGCUGCUCUGCCAAAGUCAUACCCUUCUUGGAGACACAGGGAACUCCAUCUCUCAUUCUCACUAGCAAUUUGCUGUGGCAACUCAAAUGUUUUUCCAGAUGGAACAUAAGCAGACGUGAUGUGUUUGCCUUCCAGGUCUAACCCAUGCAAAGCCUCCUGGGAACACACCUCACGCUAUUUUCUAUUCCAUCAGGUGGAUAUGGAUGAUGAUUAGGAACUAGGGUGAGGUGGAGCCAGAAAACACAAGGAGCCUGGAUCCCUGAAUGACCACAUGGACAUACACAUGCUGAAGACUGCCUUGUAAGCAGGAAAUAAACAUCUACU